GGGCCGGUAGCUCAAUGGUAGAGCAUCGCCCUUUUAAGGCGGUGGUUCUGGGUUCGAGUCCCAGCCGGCUCA
rnacentral:tRNA from 1 species